rnacentral:misc_RNA from 1 species
AAGUCGUAACAAGGUUUCCGUAGGUGAACCUGCGGAAGGAUCAUUACCAAAGACGUCCUUUGGAAGCAAUUCCAUUGGCGUUUUUCUCCCCUUUAUCAACAAACCGUGCACUUGUUAUCUCUCCCGUCUUUUCUUUUAUUUCUGCCUCGUGUGGAAAUAAAAGAAAAGCGGCUUAACCCCAUAUUUUUAUAAACCCGUUUAACCCUGCGUUUUAACUAGUUGACAUACCAUUAACUGCUUUUGCGCAAGCAAUUGCACGUUUAAUUGAGAAAUUAAUUGAACGAUAAACUCUAUACAACUCUUAGCAAUGGAUAUCUAGGUUCUC